AAGGAAGACACAGAACUUGAGAAGAUCUGCCCGUCAGUCACCCUGGAAGUAAAGGCCCACGAGGACAAAGGGAAGGAGCGAGAGAUAACAGGACUAGGGAUCUGUGGUGGAUUUGCUGUCGUCCCACGCACAUUCUUCCUGCUGAGGAACCCUUGUCCUCUCUGGAACUGACUGCCAAUAGGUAGGAUUUGGCUCUGGCUGAGAAUUCAAACACACAUCUCAGCCUUCUUUCUUUCCCUGCACCAUCGGAAAAUAUCUAAGAAACACGAGAGCCACC
rnacentral:lncRNA from 1 species